ACGGCGGGAACAUGGCGCGCGGAACCGGCGCGCGCGCCUAGCUGGCGGGACCGUUAGCUCGAGGCGGACGCGGCCCGGGCCCCGUGGGGAUGGAGCAGUCGCCGCCGCCGGCGCCCGAGUCGACCCAAGGGCCGACCCCCGCAAGGAGCCGAAGGCGGCGGGAGCCCGAGUCGCCGCCGGCGUCGGCGCCGAUUCCUCUCUUUGGUGCUGACACUAUUGGCCAGAGAAGUCCUGAUGGACCGGUACUGAGCAAAGCUGAAUUUGUUGAGAAAGUUCGUCAGAGUAAUCAGGCCUGUCAUGAUGGAGAUUUCCACACAGCUAUUGUUCUAUAUAAUGAAGCCCUGGCUGUUGACCCUCAGAACUGCAUCUUAUACAGCAAUAGAUCUGCAGCCUACAUGAAAAUCCAGCAGUAUGACAAGGCACUGGAUGAUGCAAUCAAAGCUCGACUUCUCAAUCCCAAAUGGCCAAAGGUAGAAAUUUUAUUUAUUUUCAUAGAAUCUUUUGUGCUGGCCUCUUACUUUAAUAUUUUGUUGAUUUAGUGUACUUACUAAUAUUUUAAUAAUCUGUACUUCAGCAAA
rnacentral:sRNA from 1 species